GUGAGGAAUUUUCCGCAAUGGGCGAAAGCCUGACGGAGCAAUGCCGCGUGAAGGAUGAAGGCCUAUGGGUUGUAAACUUCUUUUCUCAGAAAAGAAUUAUGACGGUAUUUGAGGAAUAAGCAUCGGCUAACUCUGUGCCAGCAGCCGCGGUAAGACAGAGGAUGCAAGCGUUAUCCGGAAUGAUUGGGCGUAAAGCGUCUGUAGGUUGUUUAAAAAGUAUUCUGUCAAAGAUUAGGGCUUAACCCUAGAUAGGCAGAAUAAACUUUUAAGCUAGAGUUUGGUAGAGGCAGAGGGAAUUCCCGGUGGAGCGGUGAAAUGCGUAGAUAUCGGGAGGAACACCAAAGGCGAAGGCACUCUGCUGGGCCAAUACUAACACUGAGAGACGAAAGCGAGGGGAGCAAAUGGGAUUAGAAACCCCGGUAGUCC
rnacentral:rRNA from 1 species